rnacentral:lncRNA from 1 species
UAUUACCGAGUUUAAAAAAAUACAAAGAAGCCUUCACUUACCCUGUAGGCCUGAGCAUAUUGCAUGAUUGUACUAUAUUUAAGAAAUGACCCAACAUGAGUAAUGGGUGCAUUGUGAAGUGGUGCCGUUUUGGCCAGUACGCCACCACUGGCCUCUUUUUUCCAUUCACAUGAGUCAGUUCAGUGCUGUGCAUCCAGGACACUGAUGAUGUCCAUGGGAGCUGAUCCCGAUUAUCUGGAGAAACACAAUAGAUUGGGAAUGCUGUUGGUGUAUGGCACUGCCUGUGUGGCAUGGCUGCCCUGCUGCAGAGAUGUUUAAGGGCAGGGCUCUGGUACACCGAGCGUGAGCUCCGUCACAUCACCAUCAUCCACUGACACAGGGUCUGCACCAGGCUGCUAAAUUCCUUAAGUAUUUAUUGAAGGCAGCAGUGCCUCAGGCUCCCCCUGCUCCUCUGCAUACCUAGCUGAAAAUUACUGCCAGCCUCUGCCACUGACCCGUACAGGAAGCAUUGAACCGAUCCCCCCUGACAAGCACAGAGCAAUGGCUUGGCCUUGCCGAGUGACCCCGCCGAGGUCGGUGUGACACUGUAGGCAAGGAUUGAUUGCAGGUAGCAGGUGAGACCCUUUCAGUCGGCUGCCUCUGGGACAUGGCCAAAGGCACCGUGCUGCAGGCAAGGCACGCCCUGCGUGGGGACAGCAGCCUGAGCCGCCUUUAUUGGGGCUGUCUGUCUGCCACCAGUGUGCUUUUUUAGCCUCAUAAUUGCAGGGUGUGUGGAUGCUUUCCCUUGCAUUGGGGAGCAGAAGUGCUUCGUGAUUCCCUGGGCAGAAAUGGAAAUGAACACUGUCUAUGCACACAACUCCCCCUCCUCCAGACCUCCUCCAUCGACCCGCAGUGAAGAUACCUUCCAUUUCCAGCACUGUCCAGAAAGGGAAUUUGAUUUGAGACAGAGGACAAAGAAGAAGAAAGAAAAUGCCUGGUCUAAAUCUGGUCGAGGUUCUGAAU